rnacentral:lncRNA from 1 species
GUUUGGUAUAUUAAAUGCAAAUAUUACAGAUUUGUACAUAGCAACCAAAUAUAAGAAAACCAGACUCAGUACGAAUAUUGAAGUUUUUUCAUCUUUUUGCGACGUCAUGAUAUUUUUAUUCAAUCUCUCAUAUAUUUUGAACCACAAGUUGCUCAUGAAAAGUGUAGAUUUUUUCUACUUUGGCCUUUACUACUGAUCAGUUGGUACUUUUUAUAGUCAAUUUUAUUUUAUCUGCCAAUGACAUCAAUGAUAUUUUCUUUUACAACCUUAAACUGUAGAUUUAAAGUUAUCAAAUAUACAGAAAGCUCUGUUAAUUUCUUAAUGUGCCCAUCCCAUGUCAAGGGCCUGUGAUUUUAUUAUUUUUUAUUGAUUUAGGUCCUUCAUAUUUGUUUUUAGUAAAUUGUAUUGUUACUGCAUGUACUAAUUAAGUCGUUAGAUUUCUUGUUAGAAUUGUUCACCUUUUUUCAUAUCGGGACUUUUUAUAGCUUACUAUAUGGUAUGAGAUUUUCUUAUUGUUGACGACUGUAUGGUGACCUAUAAUUGUUUAUAUAUCUUCCUCCUUUGAACUCUUUUGGAUAGCUCUGGUUCAUUCGCAAAAAAUACCAAAUCUCUUUAAGCCGACUUGUUUCCCGAAAUCUCUCGUUUACGUUCAUGUACUGAAUGCUCAUUUACUACGUGACACGAUAAGUUGUCAAUCAAAACAAAAAUUCAAUAAUCCCCUAUCAGGGCAAUGAAAUCUCAACAGAUCGAUCAGUUUCCAGUCCCGUUAGUAUACAUGUAAAGUCCCAGUUCAAACUAAAGAGUACAUCACACUGGUGGAUCCAGAUAUUUUCAUAAGGGGGGACCCACUGACUGACCUAAAAGAGGGCCCUCUCCAGUCAUGCAUCAGUGAUUCCCAAUACAAUCAACCAAAUUUUUCCCACAAAAGGGGGGGGGCCUAACCUGGAUCCGCCUAUGUCAUCAUUAAGGGGAGACACUCAUAAAGAUCAGCUGUUUGAAAUAACUACAUAUCACAGGCACUGUCUUGUUACCAUGUACCUCGGGGGGUUUACUAUCCACACUCGUAAGAAAGUGCCCCGCCGAAGUGGAUAGAAACCCCCAUUUGACAGAAACAAGUGGCGAAGUGCCUGUGCUACAUAUAUGACAACCUGAGAUUUGCUCACAGGCACUUGUUUCUAUCCAUUGGAAGGUCGACUAUCUAUAUAAAUAGAAGCUUCUAUUUAUAUGGAUAGUCGACCUUCCAAUGGAAAGAAACAAGUGCCUGUGGAUUUGCUGUCCGGCUGUGGGACCAAUAUUUUCAAAAUGCACGUCUUAUUUUAACAAUAUAAUAACAUACUUCCUUGUGUAGUCACAAAACCUUGAAUACAUCUUGGUGUAUGUUUGACCAAAACCGUCUGGUAUUGUCAUUUCUUCAAUGAUCUUCAAUCGUAACUGGAAAAAUAUUUUGACAUGAAGCGGGAAACUACUGCACAUAAUAUCCAAAUCGUUUCAGGAAUUGUUUCCGGAAAUUUUUAUCACAAGCCUUUGAUAAACACAUUUUUCAUGUUUCUCACGAUUUAUUAUAUUAUGAUAUUUUAACACAAAAUCGUUAAAAAAUGUCUCUUCGCACCUAAAUCUUGAAUUGAAUGCUCUAUAGUAUAAUAUGUUAAACAGCUGAUAUUCAAAAUAACUUUUUAUGGGGGGACCUAAAUUGUCGUCCUGAAUUUUUUUUUUGCAAGUGUCUCAUCCCGCCUUUUUUCAGUUUUACUCAAAACUCCUGUCCUGCCUAUUUUUUUCAAAUUUCAUCCUAGCCCCCACCCCCCCUCCCCAUAAAAAUCAAAUGGUAGCUCCCUACUAUGAUCAUAUGACAAGUCUUCUUGAAAGUAUGAAUUUUGUGCCUGACAUCUGACCAGGAAAAAUGAAAAAUGUAGCCUGACCAAAACAUUAUUUGCAGAAAUGAAGAUCACAUAGAAAAAAUGAAGAAAAAAAAAGUGUCUGACAUUUAUAUUCGUCAAUCGGCAAUAAUUUAUACAAAUAAGUUCUGAAGCCGUAGUAUGGUUCACAGCGAGACACUGACUCUCCACCAGAGACCAAAAUGACCAACUGGGAUUGCUUUAACACUGUUCAAGUUUAUAGAGUAAUCUCAGAUAUGACGCAGAAGUUACGGAAUUCGAAACUAUAGGUCACCGUACGGCCUUCAAUGAUAAGCAAAACCUACACCGCACAGUAAGCUAUAAAAGGCCCAGAAUUGACUAAUGUAAAACUGUUAUAACGAGAAAACUAACGGUGGGCCUGAUGUGGUAUGUUCAAAACAACUUAAUAAACGAAAAACAAAUAUGAUAUACAACUGUAAAAUAAUAAUUAUUUUGGUUUUAAUUUAUUGAUAACAAAAUCAAUAUUUAUACCGAUUUAAAUAUAUAUAUAUAUUCCGUUUUCUGGAAUUAUGCCCCCCCCCCUUUCAAAAAUCAUGGAUCCGCCCUUCAGUCUUGUAUAUUGACCGUUCCAUACGGUCUUAUAUAUAUGUUAAACAGCUGAUCCUUGAAAAAUCAAAUUUAAUGCUGCAUAGAAACGUUUUGUCCGAAGAUAUUGUGGGGGUGAGCAACUCAAACAGACAUAAUAGGUUAAUAACUUUGCAUCAUGAACAAAAGAUAAACCAAAUGUUUUGUCUUUACCCAUGAAUGACAUUUGAACGAUUCUUAUAAUAAGAAACCGUUCUACCGUCAAGUGAAAAAUCGAGCGCUUGAAUCUAUUAUGAUGUUAUUCGUUGCAAUUUAAGAAAUAGCUUGCAAAAUUUGGCUAUGUAACACUUUAAAAUGCUUUUACGUAACACUCUGCCGGCAGUUUUCAUAAACAACAAAAUUCUACAAAGGGUAAGGUACAGUAAAUGAGCUACGUCACAGAUUUUGGUUACAUUUUGCAUACAAUUUUGGCUGGUUGAACUAUAAACGUAAUGCAUUUGUCUGUUUAAUUUUCUGAAAUAUUACUAAAGUGAUCCUUUCAACAAAAAAAAAGAAACCACAUUAAAUAGCGAAAACUUUCUUCAAUUUGUAUAAAAUCAAUCAAAUCACCAAUCACCAAUAUAUAGAUUUUUUUUUAAAAUUUGUAUAUUGAUGAAACAUAAAUUUCCGUUUUAAUGAUGUCAAAC